AUUCACAGAAAAGGGAUACUGCACAGGAGAACUACACCAAGCGGAGAUUGCGGUUUAUGCGUUGCGUUUUACGUACGACAGAUUUGACUUCAGAGGAAGAACAUCAGAAGAUGGCAGAUAAUACACAAACGCCUGAGCUAGAGAGGGAAAAUCACCUGUUGGCCUGGCACAGUUUAAGUCAGCGGCGCUAAAUCCUGGAAAUCUGCCUUCCCGUGGAGCUUUAACUGCAAUCAAACAUACCUGAAGCAGCUAAUCAGGGCCCUUUGGUUCAUCUGAGUUUAACGUCAACAAGUCUGUUCAAACUCUGAAAAGCAAACGAUUGAGUCGGCCAAAUCUGUUCCAAUCUUUACAUUUCACAUUGUUGGGUAAGUAGGGAAAAUUAUAGAUGCAUUUGAUGUUCUUUUAAGCUGCAAUCAAAGAGCUUUAAUAGAUCAAACUCACAAACUCUCCCAGGACAACAUCAAGGUUCGCUGUUAGGCUGAUCAUCCUGUGGAGCACCUUCAUGUAUCCCUCAGUACUUUAUAAAAAAGUGAAGUGGAUUUAAAGUUCAUAAUUAUGAAUGUGUUGUCCUUAUGUUUGCUUAUUCACAUGCUUCAAAACAAUGAUGAAAUUCAAAUUAAAAUGUACAGAUUCAAAACUUAGCCUCUUAAUUCCACCAUAAAGGAUCCGUGAUUUUCAUUACAUCACUCUGCAUGUUAGAUUUUCCUUCCAUUCAAAUGCAAUUACAUAAAUAGACACCAAAGCUGCUGCUGAAACUGGUUUUCUAUAUGAUGAAUGGCAUGUUUUUUCAAUAUAAAAAGG
ensembl:processed_transcript